UACGGGAGGCAGCAGUGGGGAAGUAUUGCACAAUGGGCGAAAGCCUGAUGCAGCUAUGCCGCGUGUAUGAAGAAGGCCUUAGGGUUGUAAAGUACUUUCAUCGGGGAGGAAAAACAAAACUAAUAAUUUUAUUUCUUGACGUUACCCGAAAAAGAAGCACCGGCUAACUCCGUGCCAGCAGCCGCGGUAAUACGGAGGGUGCUAGCGUUAAUCAGAAUUACUGGGCGUAAAGAGCACGUAGGUGGUUUUUUUAAGUCAGAUGUGAAAUCCCUGGGCUUAACCUGGAACUGCAUUUUGAAACUGAAAUACUAGAGUAUCGUAGAGGGAGGUAGAAUUCUAGGUGUAGCGGUGAAAUGCGUAGAUAUCUGGAGGAAUACCUGUGGCGAAAGCGGCCUCCUAAACCGAAUACUGACACUGAGGUGCGAAAGCGUGGGGAGC
rnacentral:rRNA from 1 species